rnacentral:tRNA from 1 species
GGAGGAGUACCCAAGAGGCUGAAGGGUCCGCACUCGAAAUGCGGUAGGUCGGGCAACCGGCGCGGGGGUUCAAAUCCCUCCUCCCUCCUCCUCUGCCA